CCUACGGGUGGCAGCAGUCGAGAAUCAUUCACAAUGGGGGAAACCCUGAUGGUGCGACGCCGCGUGGGGGAAUGAAGGUCUUCGGAUUGUAAACCCCUGUCAUGUGGGAGCAAAUUAAAAAGAUAGUACCACAAGAGGACGAGACGGCUAACUCUGUGCCAGCCGCCGCGGCAAUACAGAGGUCGCAAGCGUUGUUCGGAAUCACUGGGCGUAAAGCGUGCGUAGGCUGCUUAGAAAGUCGUGGGUGAAAGGCGCGGGCACAACCCGCGGACGGAACAUGAUACUGCGAGACUAGAGUGAGGGAGGGGGAACCGGGAUUCUCGGUGUAGCAGUGAAAUGCGUAGAUAUCGGGAGGAACACUCGUGGCGAAGGCGGGUUCCUGGACAGUAACUGACGCUGAGGCACGAAGGCCAGGGGAGCGAAGGGGAUUAGAUACCCGGGUAGUC
rnacentral:rRNA from 1 species